rnacentral:rRNA from 1 species
GGGAUCAUUACACAACAAAAUAGGAAGGCCUGGCUUCACGGCUGGCUGAAAUAUUUUUUCCACCCAUGUCUUUUGCGCACUUGUUGUUUCCUGGGCGGGCUCGCCCGCCACCAGGACCAAACCAUAAACCUUUUUUUCUUAUGCAGUUUCCAUCAGCGUCAGUAAAAACAAUGUAAUUAUUACAACUUUCAACAACGGAUCUCUUGGUUCUGGCAUCGAUGAAGAACGCAGCGAAAUGCGAUACGUAGUGUGAAUUGCAGAAUUCAGUGAAUCAUCGAAUCUUUGAACGCACAUUGCGCCCUUUGGUAUUCCAAAGGGCAUGCCUGUUCGAGCGUCAUUUGUACCUUCAAGCUUUGCUUGGUGUUGGGCGUCUUUUUGUCUCUCCUUUGCGGGAGACUCGCCUUAAAACGAUUGGCAGCCGGCCUACUGGUUUCGGAGCGCAGCACAUUUUUUGCGCUUUGUAUCAGGAGAAAAGGACGGUACUCCAUCAAGACGUUUACAUUUUUCACUUUUGACCUCGGAU